GGAUUUAUAUUGCAGUCCCGUAGGAAGACUUGAUCGAAAUCGACGUAUUUUGACCAGUAUUUGCGAUAUCUGGACAAUCCAAUCUCAAGCCAGGGUUUCAGAUUACCAUUGUAGUGUAUGACAGAUGCCCUCCGGAUAUCCUUCUCAUUGAUGUUUGGGUUGUACCCAAGUCCCAACUGAUGCCAGGAGUGAUGAAGAGGGAAGGUACGGUUCCAAAAUGUUACGAGACCAGCAGGAAGAGUACCUAGCUUCCACAAUAUCCUAUUUUCGUUCUGCAGAAAUCAGAUAUCAAUAAACGUCAGUAAUCUUUUGUCUUCUCCACUCAGAUAGAUCGAACACAUUCAUGCCAUACGCCCAACCGCAGGCACGCGGGUCAAAAUUGCUGGCAAUAAGAGGAUUUGAGAAGUUGAGGUACUUAUCAAACCUAUGAAAGGUCUCUCCACAGGUCUCAACAGCACCAUUAACCUUGCCUUUUAGAUCAAUGGACCAAAUCGCACUUAAGUCCUGCUGUACUACAGUGUCAUCAUCCAGGAAUAACACCUUGCUAAGCUUCGGGAAGAUUUCAGGGAGAUAAAACCUCAGAUGAUUGAGCAUUGACAAGUACUUGGGGUUCCGGAACUUGGGAUUUUCAUCACGCCUGGCCUGCCCACUCUUGAAGUAGUAAUCAAUCAUAGACUGUGAUUCUAGCUGCUUCAUAACUGGACUGUAGGUAGAAUUCAGCCAUGUAAACUCUUCAAUGUUUUGAACCUGAAUGGCUGCUUCACCCAAGGGAUUAGCCAAGAACCACAUCUUCAUUGCAGCAUAGUUAAGCCUAUCCGUGACAAUGUGGAAGACAUGAUCUGCUGGUUUCUGCAUUUAAAUAAAUGGAGUUUACAACCACUGCAGCAGCCAACACAUUAUCUGAGAACAACGCAUAGUGAUAGAGUUUUGGAUCUUCCAACUUUUCUAUAUGUGGGAAUUUUUUAUUGUUGGAGUUGGUGUAGUAGUACUCAUUUGUAAGCCGCAGCGGAAGGCAAUGAAGUCCUUUUGGUAAAGAUUUUGCUGCUACUUGUGCUAGAUAGUUGGUUUCCUUUUUAUGAGAUUGGAGUCGCUCCUCUGUUGAGUGAAGGGUUGCACGGAGCCUGUUCAGAGCACCCGAGCAACUAUCAAGAAUUCUCUUUCCCUUUCCCAAUGUUUGCUCCAUUGCUCUUAUUUUGCUAAAGUACUUCUGAGGAAGCUGGCCACCACUGGUUGCAUCACCUAGGACUCUUUGGAUAUCCCUCAUCCGUGCACGAAGCUCCCUUGCAAAACCAUGAUUGCCUCUAGAAGCUACAAGGCUCAGAUAUGUCGUUGCUCUCGUCAACUGGUCCUUGAUUGUGCGGAUGGUAGCGUCUGGGGAAGUAGUGGAAUGACCAGCACUAACACUUGUUGGGAGAGCAGAAUUACUGUUAGUUGUUGGUGUGUAA
rnacentral:sRNA from 1 species